CCUGGUGGCUCAGAUGGUAAAGUAUCUGCCUACAAUGCAGGAGACCCGGGUUCGAUCCCUGGGUCAGGA
rnacentral:tRNA from 1 species